rnacentral:rRNA from 1 species
AGAGUUUGAUCCUGGCUCAGGACGAACGCUGGCGGCGUGCCUAAUACAUGCAAGUCGAGCGGAUUAAUGGGAGCUUGCUCCCGUUAGUUAGCGGCGGACGGGUGAGUAACACGUGGGCAACCUACCUGUAAGACUGGGAUAACUUCGGGAAACCGGAGCUAAUACCGGAUGACAUAAAGGAACUCCUGUUCCUUUAUUGAAAGAUGGCUUUUAGCUAUCACUUACAGAUGGGCCCGCGGCGCAUUAGCUAGUUGGUGAGGUAACGGCUCACCAAGGCGACGAUGCGUAGCCGACCUGAGAGGGUGAUCGGCCACACUGGGACUGAGACACGGCCCAGACUCCUACGGGAGGCAGCAGUAGGGAAUCUUCCGCAAUGGACGAAAGUCUGACGGAGCAACGCCGCGUGAGCGAUGAAGGCCUUCGGGUCGUAAAGCUCUGUUGUUAGGGAAGAAUAAGUGCUAGUUAAAUAAGCUGGCACCUUGACGGUACCUAACCAGAAAGCCACGGCUAACUACGUGCCAGCAGCCGCGGUAAUACGUAGGUGGCAAGCGUUGUCCGGAAUUAUUGGGCGUAAAGCGCGCGCAGGCGGUUUCUUAAGUCUGAUGUGAAAGCCCCCGGCUCAACCGGGGAGGGUCAUUGGAAACUGGGAAACUUGAGUGCAGAAGAGGAAAGUGGAAUUCCAAGUGUAGCGGUGAAAUGCGUAGAGAUUUGGAGGAACACCAGUGGCGAAGGCGACUUUCUGGUCUGUAACUGACGCUGAGGCGCGAAAGCGUGGGGAGCAAACAGGAUUAGAUACCCCCGUAGUCC